AGAGUUUGAUCCUGGCUCAGGACGAACGCUGGCGGCGUGCGUAAUACAUGCAAGUCGAGCGGACAGAUGGGAGCUUGCUCCCUGAUGUUAGCGGCGGACGGGUGAGUAACACGUGGGUAACCUGCCUGUAAGACUGGGAUAACUCCGGGAAACCGGGGCUAAUACCGGAUGGUUGUUUGAACCGCAUGGUUCAAACAUAAAAGGUGGCUUCGGCUACCACUUACAGAUGGACCCGCGGCGCAUUAGCUAGUUGGUGAGGUAACGGCUCGCCAAGGCGACGAUGCGUAGCCGACCUGAGAGGGUGAUCGGCCACACUGGGACUGAGACACGGCCCAGACUCCUACGGGAGGCAGCAGUAGGGAAUCUUCCGCAAUGGACGAAAGUCUGACGGAGCAACGCCGCGUGAGUGAUGAAGGUUUUCGGAUCGUAAAGCUCUGUUGUUAGGGAAGAACAAGUACCGUUCGAAUAGGGCGGUGCCUUGACGGUACCUAACCAGAAAGCCACAGCUAACUACGUGCCAGCAGCCGCGGUAAUACGUAGGUGGCAAGCGUUGUCCGGAAUUAUUGGGCGUAAAGGGCUCGCAGGCGGUUUCUUAAGUCUGAUGUGAAAGCCCCCGGCUCAACCGGGGAGGGUCAUUGGAAACUGGGGAACUUGAGUGCAGAAGAGGAGAGUGGAAUUCCACGUGUAGCGGUGAAAUGCGUAGAGAUGUGGAGGAACACCAGUGGCGAAGGCGACUCUCUGGUCUGUAACUGACGCUGAGGAGCGAAAGCGUGGGGAGCGAACAGGAUUAGAUACCCUGGUAGUCCACGCCGUAAACGAUGAGUGCUAAGUGUUAGGGGGUUUCCGCCCCUUAGUGCUGCAGCUAACGCAUUAAGCACUCCGCCUGGGGAGUACGGUCGCAAGACUGAAACUCAAAGGAAUUGACGG
rnacentral:rRNA from 1 species